rnacentral:lncRNA from 1 species
GUUUUGGGGCAUUGGGAGGGAUCUAAUCCCAAGGAUUUUGGGACAGGUCUGAUCUUUAGGGUUUUUGGGGUAUUAGGAGGGGUCUGAUCCCAACAUUUCAGGGUUUUUGGGUAUUGGUAGGGAUCCAAUCCCAAGGAUUUGGGGUGUUGGGAGGGAUCCAAUCCCAAGGAUUUUGGGACAGGUCUGAUCUUUAGGGUUUUGGGGUAUUAGGAGGGGAUCUGAUCCCAACAUUUUAGGGUUUUUGGGUAUUGGUAGGGAUCCAGUCCCAAGGGUUUUGGGGCAUUUGGAGAGAUCUGAUGAGGAUUUCAGGGUUUUUGGGUAUUGGUAGGGAUCCAAUCCCAAGGGUUUAGAUCUUCAGGAUUUUUGGGUAUUAGGAGGGGAUCUGAUCCCAACAUUUCAGGGUUUUAGGGUAUUGGUAGGGAUCCAAUCCCAAGGGUUUAGAUCUUUAGGAUUUUUUGGGUAUUAUGAGGGGAUCUAAUCCCAACAUUUCAGCCUUUUAUCUCACCCCAAACCCUGAAUUUCCCCCCAUUUUCCCCGCACCCAGAGGUUCACCCGCUGCUGGGCGUGAAGGGCGACGGUAAAUCCAAGAAGAAGCAGGCGGGCAGGCCCAAAGGAUCAAAAGGUAAAGACAAAGAUUCUCCAUUUAAACCGAAACUCUACAAAGGGGACAGAGGGGCUUUGCCUCUGGAAGGAGCGGCCAAGGGGAAAGUGCAGGCGGAGCUGGGCCAGCCCCUGACAGGUAAGGACGGUGUCAUGUGGUAGUGUGUUGUUAAGUUUCUUGUGUUAUUCCCCCAAUUUAUGUAUUGUUCUCCCCUAUUAUGUGUAAAAUGGUUUCGUCCCCCCANNNNNNNNNNNNNNNNNNNNNNNNNNNNNNNNNNNNNNNNNNNNNNNNNNNNNNNNNAAGAAGCGGCCCGGCUCCUCGGACGGGCCCCAGAACCCCAAGAAAAAACCCAAAACCACCAACAUCGAGCUGCAGGGAGUCCCCAAUGACGAGGUUCACCCGCUGCUGGGCGUGAAGGGCGACGGUAAAUCCAAGAAGAAGCAGGCGGGCAGGCCCAAAGGAUCAAAAGGUAAAGACAAAGAUUCUCCAUUUAAACCGAAACUCUACAAAGGGGACAGAGGGGCUUUGCCUCUGGAAGGAGCGGCCAAGGGGAAAGUGCAGGCGGAGCUGGGCCAGCCCCUGACAGGUAAGGACGGUGUCAUGUGGUAGUGUGUUGUUAAGUUUCUUGUGUUAUUCCCCCAAUUUAUGUAUUGUUCUCCCCUAUUAUGUGUAAAAUGGU